rnacentral:rRNA from 1 species
AUAAUUAUAAAUUAAUUUUUAGGUGAAGAAGCCUAAAUAAAGCUAAAAGACAAGAAGACCCUAUCGAGUUUUACUAUUAGGUUAGAUAUGUAAAAAUUUUUAUAUUUUACUUAGAUGAUAUGUAGUUUAAUUGGGGCGAUUAGAGAAUACAGUUAGCUUCUCUAUUAUAAAGAAAAUAAUUCUUGUAGAAGAUCCACUAAUAGUGAUCGAGAGACUAAUACUACCGUAGGGAUAACAGGCUAAUUUCUUUAGAGAGUUCAUAUUGACAAAGAAGAUUGGCACCUCGAUGUUGGCUUAAAUUUUCCUUUGUAUGCAGCAGUAUAAAAAGGUUGGUUUGUUCAACCAUUAAAAUUUU